rnacentral:lncRNA from 1 species
AUUGUAACUGUUUCAUAGCAUGGUAAUCAGAAGCUGCUCAAUGUUACAGUUAGUUGGUACGGGAAAUAGAGGGGUUAGUGUUCAAACCCAGGCAUGCGAGACUCCUCAGCAUAUGCUCUAUUUUUAAAAUUUAUUUCUAAUUAUUAUGGGUACAUAAUAGUUGUAUAUACUUAUGGGGUACACAUGAUGUUUUGAUACAGGCAUAUGAUGUGUAAUAAUCAAGCCAGGGUAAUGGGGUAUCCAUCACCUCAAGCAUUUCUUAUUUCUUUGUGUUAGGAGCAUUCCAAUUUCACUGUUUUAGUUAUUUUAAAAUACACAAUAAAUUACUGUUAAAUAUAGUCACCCUAUUGGGCUACUGAAAACUAGAUCUUAUUCAUUUUAUCUAACCAUAUUUUUGUUUCCACAAGCUAUCCCCACUGCCCUGUUACCCUUCCCAGUCUCUGGUAAUCAUCAUUCUAUUCUGUCCCCAUGAGUUCAAUGUUUAAAAUUUUUAGCUCUGACAUAUGAGUGAGAACAUAUGAAAUCUGUCUUUCUGUGCCUGGCUUAUUUCACUUAACAUAAUGUCCUCCAGUUCCAUCCAUGUUGUUGAAAUGAGAAAAUUUCAUUCUUUUUUAUGGCCAGAUAAUAUCCCCUUGUGUAUAUGUACCACAUUUUCCUUAUCCAUUCAUUUUUUUGAGAACACUUAGGUUGAUUCCAUAUUUUAGCUAUUAUGAAUAGUGCUGCAAUAAACAUGGGAGUGCAGAUAUCUCUUCAAUAUAC